UGGUGAAGGGUGUCCAAAUUAUUCUGAAUGCACCUAGACUAGGUAGACUCCUUCAGAUGCCUUGUGAGGGUAGUUGCCUAGAUGAGUUUCCCAAAAAGGAAAUUGGACUCAGGACUAUCUUUGGAAGAGAGGAUGCAGAAAGAUUUUUGAAAAUUAAAGCCAAGGAUUUGAGUGUGGAGAUGAGGUUGCUCCAUCACAUGGUGUCUAGGAUUUUCUUUCCCAAAGGAGGAAGAUAUGAUUUGAUGA
rnacentral:lncRNA from 1 species